rnacentral:rRNA from 1 species
CGUAGGGUGCGAGCGUUAAUCGGAAUUACUGGGCGUAAAGCGUGCGCAGGCGGUUUUGUAAGCCAGAUGUGAAAUCCCCGGGCUUAACCUGGGAAUGGCAUUUGGGACUGCAAGGCUGGAGUGCGGCAGAGGAGACUGGAAUUCCUGGUGUAGCAGUGAAAUGCGUAGAUAUCAGGAGGAACACCGAUGGCGAAGGCAGGUCUCUGGGCUGACACUGACGCUCAUGCACGAAAGCGUGGGGAGCAAACAGGAUUAGAUACCCUGGUAGUCCACGCCCUUAACGAUGUCGACUGGUUGUUGGGGGUUUGACACUCUCAGUAACGAAGCUAACGCGUGAAGUCGACCGCCUGGGGAGUACGGCCGCAAGGUUA